rnacentral:rRNA from 1 species
GGAGGCAGCAGUGGGGAAUAUUGCACAAUGGGCGCAAGCCUGAUGCAGCCAUGCCGCGUGUGUGAAGAAGGCCUUCGGGUUGUAAAGCACUUUCAGCGGGGAGGAAGGCGGUGAGGUUAAUAACCUCGUCGAUUGACGUUACCCGCAGAAGAAGCACCGGCUAACUCCGUGCCAGCAGCCGCGGUAAUACGGAGGGUGCAAGCGUUAAUCGGAAUUACUGGGCGUAAAGCGCACGCAGGCGGUCUGUCAAGUCG